rnacentral:rRNA from 1 species
UACGUAGGGGGCAAGCGUUGUCCGGAUUUAUUGGGCGUAAAGAGCGUGUAGGCGGCCAGACAGGUCCACUGUGAAAACUCGAGGCUCAACCUCGAGAUGUCGGUGGAACCGUCUGGCUAGAGUCCGGAAGAGGAGAGUGGAAUUCCCGGUGUAGCGGUGAAAUGCGUAGAUAUCGGAAGGAACACCUGUGGCGAAAGCGGACUCACUGGACCAUAACUGACGCUGAGGCGCGAAAGCUAGGGAGCAACAGGG